UUAAUUUCUUAAUUUCAUAUAUUUGCAUUUACUCAGUCAAUUUUUUAUGGGUUUCUUUUGGAUUAUUGGUUUGCCCUUGAUUUCAUUUAUAGUUAAUUUAUUAUGCGUGUUAUUUGAAUAUUGCAUUUGAGUAGAUUCAAGAGCUUUUUUUUGUUAUUUUUAAUUGUGUGACUUAGUAUUAGGUAUAUCUAUCAGUAAUCAUGGGCUAGAAUUGUUUGUUUGAUGUCAGUAUUUCUAUCAAAUUUCAAAGUGUUGGAUGUAGUUUUGAUAUUUGAUGAAAUGCCUGAAAGAGAGAAAUUACGUUACUUUUGAUAUUGGCAGUGAAACCUUCGGCGGAAUAAGUUGUUAAAAUUGGUACCAUUCUCGCAAAUUUGCGAUUUUGAGUUGAAAGAAGGAAUUUUUACUAAUUAUGAAGUUGCUCAGUGCCACAUUUCUGUGGAAAGUGACUGUGUAUCUUGUUUCGACAGAUUGAAGGGUUGUGCAGUCCCAGUUUCAGUGUCAAAUCUGCUUAGCGGGUCAUGGAUUUUUGUGGGGGUUAUUAGAUCAAAGAAGAAAAUAUUUUCUGACGCCAGUGGCAUGAGAAGAAGAAAAGAACAUAAAUGAUAUUAGAGGCAAAGAUUGGAAAUGAGUUCUGAAAUUUGGCAAGCUGUUAAGGUGCAUCACCACCUUAUCAAAGCUGUUGGGAAAGAUAUAGGGAACAAAGUCUACAAGAGGCAUUUAAGGGAAUACAGAUAACACAAGAGUUUUGGAAGGACAGAAACUUGUCCGAUCCUUCAUCUAUACAACAAAAGAUCAGACUUGCCCAUGAUUAUACUUUUCUUCUCAGCAGUGUGUGCCAUCAUAAGACAUGGCUCUCUUCAUUGGACCUAUUGUUCUCCUACAACAUUGCCGUGGAUAAAUCAGAUCGAAUAAAAAGAUUACUUGGGAAUUAAAUCUGCUGCUAGUGUGGGCCUUCGACUUCCUGAGCCUUAUCAGCCUUGAUGCUUUUCUAUCAACCAUAGGGAUUUGUUGAUCCAUUUUAAUUUUCACCUAAGAAGGCCUGCUGCUGUUGCCUGAACCAGUUGCUGGCCGUAAUAUUUGCCACAGUAAUAAAAUUAUAGUUGCUUGAACUUGAGGAAGAGUAUGUUAUUUCUAAUAUGGAAAGUGCAGCUGACUGUGCACCCCUCCUACCUGGCAUUGGGUGCUCCCCUUAGAACACAAAAUAAAAAUAUACAUAUGUGGCGCUGUGUGGACUCAAACCGAAGACCUUUAGUGUGUUUCACUGAUGUGAUAACCAACUACACCUAGACACCAUGUUUAUUAUUUUGCAUCCUCAUUUUGUGAUUCCUGCACGGCACAUUUUACUGUGUUGGAAAUUUGAGCAAAUCCUUGAUUGAUUUUAAUAUUUAGUUCCCAACUGCAAGCUCAUUAUACGGUC